GAUCCUGGCUCAGGAUGAACGCUGGCGGCGUGCUUAACACAUGCAAGUCGAACGAUGAUCCCAGCUUGCUGGGGGAUUAGUGGCGAACGGGUGAGUAACACGUGAGUAACCUGCCCUUGACUCUGGGAUAAGCCUGGGAAACUGGGUCUAAUACCGGAUAUGACUCCUCAUCGCAUGGUGGGGGUGGAAAGCUUUUGUGGUUUUGGAUGGACUCGCGGCCUAUCAGCUUGUUGGUGGGGUAAUGGCCUACCAAGGCGACGACGGGUAGCCGGCCUGAGAGGGUGACCGGCCACACUGGGACUGAGACACGGCCCAGACUCCUACGGGAGGCAGCAGUGGGGAAUAUUGCACAAUGGGCGCAAGCCUGAUGCAGCGACGCCGCGUGAGGGAUGACGGCCUUCGGGUUGUAAACCUCUUUCAGUAGGGAAGAAGCGUAAGUGACGGUACCUGCAGAAGAAGCGCCGGCUAACUACGUGCCAGCAGCCGCGGUAAU
rnacentral:rRNA from 1 species